UCCUGAUCUUGCGGUUCAAGCCCCGAGUUGGCCUCUGCACUGGCAGCACGGAGCCUCAAGCCCAGCACGAGGGACCUUUGUCCAGUGGAAAUAUUCCGCCUCUCGGCUGCGUCCACGUCAGCAUCCCGGUUGUGACGCUGAGCUACAGUUUGGUCAGGCGUUAUCUUUGGGUGACCUGAUGAAAGUUGUUGGAGCCCUUCCAUGCCCUACCAGGAAGAAGUUGCGUGUCUCACUUUGAAGCACGAGGCCCUACCCUUCAAUUGCCUGACACAGAAGGACAAGUACCUUAGGAAGGAGACCUGUUGAUGUGCCAUCAAAUAUCCAAUGGAAGAAGGAGAGUACAGCCAGAGCCGAACAUGGACAGGUUUCAUUACAUCUCCAAGGAUGCAAUAAAGAAGCUCAAAAUUUGAAGCUGGAUGGAUGGAAGUUUGGAUUUGUGAUCUGCCCAUUACUAGCU